rnacentral:lncRNA from 1 species
AGGAGACAAGUAUAAUAGGCCAAUUUUAACCUGGGCCAGAUUUCAAAACAAAACCCAAACCAAAUAAUAAAAGAGUCCAAAAUAAUUAAAACAAUCCAUCCAUUUUACAGACAAACCCAAAUUAGCAGCCCAAAUACAAAUUAAAACUCAAUAACCCAAAACUAACCGUAGCCCAAUUAGCUCAACACUUAAACACAACAAAAAAACCCCUAGCCCCCUAAGCCUCCAACGCCGCAUGACCACCUGUGCCGCAUGCCGCCGCCGCUCAAGGCUCGCCUAUCACCGACCAUCCACGCGUCUAACACUUGCAAAACCAAGGCAACACGCAACAACAAAGGCCAAAUAGAGGAAACAACAAGGAAACAGACAAAAAAAGGAAGAAACAAACAGUUUUGAUUCAGAUAUAAAAGCUCGAAUCUCACCAUUGUAAUUUUUUUAUAAUUUUUUUAUGAACAUUAGAAAAUAAUAAAAUAAAAACAACACUUUCAAGGUGAAUUUCUACUUUUAUUUCUGUUUUAAAUACCUAUUUGAUUCUAUAUUCAUAUUUUUAUUUUAUUUUAUAUAUAUAUAAGAAAAUAAUAAAAUAAUAAAAGGAAGAAAGGGCUCACCGGAGAAGUCCCGUGACCGCGCCGUCGGAGGGCUCUUCUCUAUUGUUGCCAUUGGAUCUUAGAGGGGGUCGGGAGUCCUCUCUUUCAUUUUUUUGGGUCGAGAGGGCUGGGCUUUCAAGGCAGCUGCGAAACGAGGGCUAAAAAUGACCUUUUGCACAACGCCAGCCACCAGCCACGGCGGCGACCAUGGCCGACCAAGGGGUGGGCUGAGAGAGAGACCAAGAGAGACUAAGAGAGUUCUCUGUUUUUUUAGAAAAAUGAAAGUUGAACUGUUUUUUUCUUCUUCUUUUUUUGCAAUUUAUAAACGGUAUAAUACAGCGUCGUUUUGGACUUAAGCAUCAGUAGCCAAACGACGCCGUUUUGCAUCAGAC